CUCCUCGAGGACAUCGCCCUUCUCCCGAUGAACGUCACCGACACCCCGAACGCCAUCUCUUGGCGCCUAGAAUCUUCCAGACGCUUCUCUACCAAGUCCCUAUACGCGGCCAUCGCGCCUUCGCCCGCCCCCGAGCCCUUCAGUUUGAUCUGGGAUAUCCGCCUGCCACUAAAGAUUAGGAUCUUUCUUUGGCAAUGGAUCCGUGGACGCCUCCCCUCCGGAGUCGAAGUCCUCAAGCAUAACGGACCUGGAGAUGGGCUUUGCCCCCUGUGCGGCACGGUGGAGGAUGCUAACCACAUCUUCUUCGCGUGCUCCACGGCUCAGUUUCUUUGGUCUAGUUUCUGCGAGACGGUUGGUGGACAGUGGUGCAAUUCCAAUUUCCCCGACCUUCUCGCAGAGAUCCAUGCCUCCCCCCUCGCUACCGACAUAUCCGUUGGCUCUGCGUAG
rnacentral:rRNA from 1 species